rnacentral:rRNA from 1 species
AUUGAACGCUGGCGGCAGGCCUAACACAUGCAAGUCGAACGAGUGGCGGACGGGUGAGUAAUGUCUGGGAAACUGCCUGAUGGAGGGGGAUAACUACUGGAAACGGUAGCUAAUACCGCAUACCAUCGGAUGUGCCCAGAUGGGAUUAGCUUGUUGGUGGGGUAACGGCUCACCAAGGCGACGAUCCCUAGCUGGUCUGAGAGGAUGACCAGCCACACUGGAACUGAGAGACGGUCCAGACACCUACGAGAGGCAGCAGUGGGGAAUAGUGCACAAUGGGCGCAAGCCUGAUGCAGCCAUGCCGCGUGUAUGAAGAAGGCCUUCGGGUUGUAAAGGACGUUCAGCGGGGAGGCGUUACCCGCAGAAGAAGCACCGGCUAACUCCGUGCCAGCAGCCGCGGUAAUUC